AACGAACGCUGGCGGCGUGGCUAAGGCAUGCAAGUCGAGCGGACCUAUCCAAAGGGUAACUGGCGGGUAGGUUAGCGGCGGACGGGUGAGGAAUACAUGGAUAACGUACCCCGGACAUAGGGAUAGCGGCGGGCCGCAAGGUCCUUUGCGAAAGUGCCGGUAAUACCUGAUGACCUCGUAGGAUCGCAUGAUCCCGCGAGCAAAGCUCCGACGGUCUGGGAUCGGUUCAUGUCCAUCAGCUAGUUGGCGGGGUAACGGCCCACCAAGGCGGCGACGGGUACCGGGUGUGAGAGCAUGACCCGGCACAUCGGAACUGAGACACGGUCCGGACACCUACGGGUGGCUGCAGCAACGAAUAUUCCGCAAUGGGCGAAAGCCUGACGGAGCGACGCCGCGUGCAGGAAGAAGUCUUUCGGGAUGUAAACUGCUGUC
rnacentral:rRNA from 1 species